rnacentral:rRNA from 1 species
GACGAACGCUGGCGGCGUGCUUAACACAUGCAAGUCGAACGGAAAGGCCCCUUUGGGGGUACUCGAGUGGCGAACGGGUGAGUAACACGUGAGUAACCUGCCCUUGACUUCGGGAUAAGUUCAGGAAACUGGGGCUAAUACCGGUUAGGAAUCCUUGCUGCAUGGUGGGGGUUGGAAAGCUUCGGCGGGUUUGGAUGGACUCGCGGCGUAUCAGCUUGUUGGUGGGGUAGUGGCUUACCAAGGCUUUGACGGGUAGCCGGCCUGAGAGGGCGACCGGCGAUCUUGGCACCUACGGACGGCCCAGACACCUACGGUAGGCAGCAGUGGGGAAUAUUGCACAAUCGGCGGAAGCCUGAUGCAGCAACGCUGCGUGCCGGAUGACUGUCUUCGGGUUGUAAACCGCUUUCAUCAGUGGCGAAGCUUGUCGUGACGGUACCUGCAGAAGAAGCACCGGCUAACUACGUG